rnacentral:lncRNA from 1 species
CCACCUCAUUCCCUCUUUCCCAGUACCCUAAGGAGCAGCAUGUUGAAUAAGCAAGAGGCUAAGAGAACGGUUGGACCAAUGCCAGAUCCUUUGCCUUCUCUCCUGGCUCAGUGAAACAAGGGGUCACAGCUGGGGCAAUUUCUGCUUUGCAAUUCUCUUGCCAUCUUUCUGCCACAAGACAAUUCUCAGCUUGUCUCCUG